GUUUCCAGUUAAGGUAGGCCGCAAGUUACAAGGCGGAAAUGGAGAAAAUGGAGCUCUCACGUGGUUGCUUAUCUGCUGACCCACCUUAAUGACGUGGAGCCACCUUACAGCUGCCCCGGCAACUUCUCUACCUUUCCAAGAAUCCUCUCUCAGCUUCUCCAACCCUGAAGCCAGGCGUAUGUUUAACUCCCACGUGCAGAGCACCAGCUUCUCCUACAAGAGGAUGCCCAUGCCAGUGUGGUCAGAGAUGCCCACACCUCAGAGAGAGCCCUCCCCUGGACUGGAGGUAUAAGGACAUGAGCCAGGUAACCGCACCUGUGGAAAGUCCACCGGUUCAUUUUGAGAAUUCGUGUUAGUAUUCAUGCAGCAGCUGGGGCCUUACCUGGGAAGAGAUAAAUAGCCCCCAAGCAUUUGCCUUGUAAAACCUUGCCAACAACCCAUCAUUAAAACUCAAAGAGCCUGUAUUUCUCUAUCAAUGAACAUAAAUACACUGCAUUAAAAUGAACUCUUGCUAUACGCCUCACCAAACUCCAAGUUCUCUGAGUGGACAGAGAUGGGAGCUAGACAUCUACAAAAAUUUGCACUCGGAGUGCUGGUUACAGCGAGACACCAUUAGAGAGAAAGGGCGUUCUCCUCCUCCUGCAUGGACCACAGAACUACUAUCACCCCUUGAGGACUGUCGGCUCUGAGAGAAGCAACGGUGAGUGUUUUCAUGGUGAACGGCUGCUGUGGUUGUCGGAGGCACUGUCCCAUGGCUUAGUGGAUGGCCAUCAGAUGGAGAUGGGACAUGAGGAACAAAAAUGCCAGAGAAGCUUGCUGGAAGAUGGUUUGAGAUUAGGAC